ensembl:snRNA U4 U4 spliceosomal RNA
AGUUUUGUGCAGUGACAGUAUCAUAGCCAAUGAGGUUAAUCCAAGGCACAAUUAUUGCUAAUUAAAAAGAUAAACAUUUUAGCAAGAAAUGUUUAAAAUUUGUGUGUGUCUCUGUGCAGU